UAGAAAAUAAUAUAGUGGAAGUAUGAAGGGCUUUGAUCCCUUUCGUGCAGGUUCAAUUCCUGCUUUUCUAA
rnacentral:tRNA from 1 species